rnacentral:rRNA from 1 species
UACGUAGGUGACAAGCGUUGUCCGGAUUUACUGGGCGUAAGAGCGCUCCGGCGGUCGAUCAAGUCGAGUGUGAAAGCCCCCGGCUCAACUGGGGAGGGUCAUUCGAUACUGAUCGACUCGAAGGCAGGAGAGGGUAGUGGAAUUCCCGGUGUAGUGGUGAAAUGCGUAGAUAUCGGGAGGAACACCAGUGGCGAAGGCGACUACCUGGCCUGUUCUUGACGCUGAGGCGCGAAAGCUAGGGGAGCAAACGGG